UACGUAGGGACCGAGCGUUGUCCGGAAUCAUUGGGCGUAAAGAGCGUGUAGGCGGCUAUUUAAGUCCUGCGUGAAAUCCUGCGGCUCAACCGCAGACGGUCGUGGGAAACUGGAUGGCUAGAGUGCGGGAGAGGAGAGUGGAAUUCCCGGUGUAGCGGUGAAAUGCGCAGAUAUCGGGAAGAACACCCGUGGCGAAGGCGGCUCUCUGGAACGCAACUGACGCUGAGGAACGAAAGCUAGGGGAGCAAACAGG
rnacentral:rRNA from 1 species